rnacentral:rRNA from 1 species
GACGAACGCUGGCGGCGUGCCUAAUACAUGCAAGUCGAACGCUGAAGGAGGAGCUUGCUUCUCUGGAUGAGUUGCGAACGGGUGAGUAACGCGUAGGUAACCUGCCUGGUAGCGGGGGAUAACUAUUGGAAACGAUAGCUAAUACCGCAUAAUAGUAGAUGUUGCAUGACAUUUGCUUCAAAGGUGCAAUUGCAUCACUACCAGAUGGACCUGCGUCGUAUUAGCUAGUUGGUGGGGUAACGGCUCACCAAGGCGACGAUACAUAGCCGACCGGGGAGGGGUGUCGGCCCCACUGGGAACGGAACCAGGCCCAGGACUCCUCCGGGGGCAGCAAGAGGGGAAUUUCGGGAAAGGGCGGAAGUCUGACCGAGCAACGCCGCGGGGGGGAAGAAGGGUUUCGGAUCGUAAAGCUCCGUUGUAAGGGAAGAACGAGUGGGAGAGUGAAAAGUUCACACUGUGACGGUACCUUACCAGAAAGGGACGGCUAACUACGUG